rnacentral:rRNA from 1 species
UACGGAGGGUGCAAGCGUUGUUCGGAUUUAUUGGGCGUAAAGCGCGUGUAGGCGGUUCCUUAAGUCUGAUGUGAAAGCCCUGGGCUCAACCCAGGAAGUGCAUUGGAUACUGGGAAACUUGAAUACGGGAGAGGGUAGUGGAAUUCCUAGUGUAGGAGUGAAAUCCGUAGAUAUUAGGAGGAACACCGGUGGCGAAGGCGGCUACCUGGACCGAUAUUGACGCUGAGACGCGAAAGCGUGGGGAGCAAACAGG